rnacentral:rRNA from 1 species
UACAGGGGGAGCAAGCGUUGUUCGGAUUUACUGGGCGUAAAGGGCGCGUAGGCGGCCUCUGCAAGUCGACUGUGAAAUCUCCGGGCUUAACCCGGAAAGGUCAGCCGAUACUGCAGGGCUAGAGUGCAGAAGGGGCAACUGGAAUUCUCGGUGUAGCGGUGAAAUGCGUAGAUAUCGAGAGGAACACCUGCGGCGAAGGCGGGUUGCUGGGCUGACACUGACGCUGAGGCGCGAAAGCUAGGGGAGCGAACGGG